CCUACGGGGGGCUGCAGUGGGGAAUAUUGGACAAUGGGGGCAACCCUGAUCCAGCCAUGCCGCGUGUGUGAAGAAGGCCCUCGGGUUGUAAAGCACUUUCAGUGAGGAAGAACGCCUGGUGGUUAAUACCCAUCAGGAAAGACAUCACUCACAGAAGAAGCACCGGCUAACUCCGUGCCAGCAGCCGCGGUAAUACGGAGGGUGCGAGCGUUAAUCGGAAUUACUGGGCGUAAAGCGCGCGUAGGUGGCUUGAUAAGCCGGUUGUGAAAGCCCCGGGCUCAACCUGGGAACGGCAUCCGGAACUGUCAAGCUAGAGUGCAGGAGAGGAAGGUAGAAUUCCCGGUGUAGCGGUGAAAUGCGUAGAGAUCGGGAGGAAUACCAGUGGCGAAGGCGGCCUUCUGGACUGACACUGACACUGAGGUGCGAAAGCGUGGGUAGCAAACAGGAUUAGAUACCCGUAGUC
rnacentral:rRNA from 1 species